rnacentral:piRNA from 1 species
UAAGAAUGUGGUCGAUUGGGCUUGAGUCCC